AGCGGGAGCUAACCACCACCGUCCGCCGACUCCGACGCCUCACCUCUCUAUCUCCGGCAGACGACGACAACGCCGCCCCUGUCUCCCUCCGCUCAGACCAGCUCCGACCAGCCACCGCCCCACACAGGAAGAGGAAAAAGGCGGUGCCUUUGCCGCCGUGGCGUCGCCGGCGUCGAGCAGCCACCGGGCUGAAACUCACCUCCCUCUCGACUCAUCACACAAGGACAGGAGACAAAAAUUUCAAAGCUUCAAAAUGAAAUCUUUUCUCUUUUCUUUUCAAUGAAUCAUGCUUUCAUGUAAAAACAGUAAAAGUGUGGAGUAUUACAGAAAAUAGAAUGAUUAUGCUUUGGUGUGUGU